GGCGCGCGGGUACCUCCUCGGGGGCGCGCGACCGGACUGUCGUCCUUCCCCCCGCAACUCCCUCACGCGUCCGCUCCGGAGCCUGGGGAGGGAGAGCGCAGGCGCGGGGAGCUGGAGCCGGGCGCCGCCGGCGCCGCCGCUGCCGCCGCCGCCGCCGAGGCUUAACGUCUCGCUCGCUCGCGCAGCGGCGGCAGCAGAGGUCGCGCACAGAUGCGGGUUAGACUGGCGGGGGGAGGAGGCGGAGGAGGGAAGGAAGCUGCAUGCAUGAGACCCACAGACUCUUGCAAGCCGGAUGCCCUCUGUGGAUGAAAGAUGUAUCAUGGAAUGAACCCGAGCCAUGGAGAUGGAUUUCUAGAGCAGCAGCAGCCUCAGUCCCCCCAGAGACUCUUUUGGCCGUGAUCCUGUGGUUUCAGCUGGCGCUGUGCUUCGGCCCUGCACAGCUCACGGGCGAGCCUGAGGGUCUUUCUGCCACCACUGCCCUUUGCUGUCCAUUCCAGACUUCCUGUGAGAGCUUGCUGAUGUGGGCAUAUUAAGAGGACAGAAUCAUGUUUCUGGAGCUGAAAAACUGUUAAUCUACAAAUAAAUUAUAAUUGGUGGAAAAGCAGGUAUUGAUUGAUACAAGUAAACCAUUUUAGUGUUUUAAAAUAUUGCCGUUUUAGAGAAUUCAAAGGUGAAGAUGGAAAUAAUGGGUGAAAAAUUAGUAGAGGUGGGGAGGGCACUACCAAGUUGGGCUUUAACACAGAGGAAUCAAUAACCCAGGUGUUGCACUUAGAGGUCUGAGAGAUGCCAGGAGUCUAAACGAGCUUCCUGUGAUGUCCAUAUUUAUCGGAAUUAGUGCGAAAACACUCACUUUGGGUGGGGGACCCGGUUUUGGUUUUUCAACAAGGGGUAACUUUUUUGGUGCUCCCUUUUUUUACAGAAAUGUCUCUGAGGCAGGUGUCCUCUUCAUCGAGGACAAGGUCAAGUGGGAUGCCAGGCCAGCACCUGUGUGGCCUGCCAGGGCUCUGGUCACAGCCUCUGUCCGCCCGUGAGCUUUAGCUCCACUUGGAGGGUGAGUGGGACCAGGUGGGCAGGACAGCCUCGAGCAGGGCCUGGUCAUCACCUCCCCUCUUCUCUUUUCUUGCCUCCAGCUCUAGCUGUCAUUUCCUUAAACCAGGUGCACGUGAUUCUCCAUCCUCUCUGUUCCUUUCUCCAGUGUAGAUGGCAGGUUAGUCUGGGUUCAUCUGUGUGUGUCUUGACUGUUGUUAUUGGAAGUGUGAGGUCUGAGCACAGCCUGGACUUGGUUGGCCCUUGGUUCUGCCAUUUGUGUUUACAGAGCAUCCCCCCACUCAAGGAUCUCAGAGCUCAGUACACAGCACAGCCCCCUCAGUCUCACAUUAGUCACCCGUGCGGUUGUACAACACGUCUUUCGCUCCCCUCUUCCGAGAGGCAAAGAUAUCAACAAAAAGAUCCAGGGCCUUAAAGGAGGCGGGACGAGGGUCGCCUAUCACCUCUCCCUUCUUAGUUCCCACAGGCCGCAGAAAGGCUGGCCAUCAGCUUUGUGUCAUCUGGAACUCCCUCAGGCUGAGUGUGAUUUCUGGAAGAUGAUUUAUCAUUUCAGAAGUCUUCCAUGAAUAAACAAUUUGGGUGGAAAAGGGUGGUGGAGGUUGCUCUAUGGAGUUCACUGUACAGAGAUUUCUUUCUUCGGAAAGAAAUCCACGUGGAGGCUACAGGAUGGUUUCAUUAAAGCAAAUCCCUUUUAAUUCUAGACCAGUGCUUCUAAAAUUUUAAUGUACUUACGAAUCACUUGGGAUCUUGCAAAACGGCAGAUUCUGGUUCAGCUGGUCUGGGGUGAGCCUGAGAGUCUCCGUUCCCAACAAGCUCACAAGCGAUGCAGUUGCUACUGGUCCCAGGACCACACUUUGAUUAGCAAUGCUUUCGACGACGAAUUCCUUAGAACAAGUUGGUUCUGACUCCAGACUUUCUACCAUCUCUCCCAAAUACCCAAAUACAAAUGGCCUGUGAAGAGGCAGAAGUCUCACCCAAGUGUCUAAUCUUUAGGUGACACACAGAACUGAAACUCAGCCCUCAGAGAGUGCUCUUUUUUUUUUUUCCAACCAUGAAAAGGUGCCUAUUUAAUAGACACUGUUCUGAAAUGUGGAUUUUCAUUUUUGAUUGCUUUCAAUGGAAAAGGAACAUGACAAUAGCAAGAUAUAAUAGUCCCAGCUAGGAGGAAAAACUAGAAGGGCAUGUGCCCAAUACAAGAGUUACAGAAAAAGCCUGAACGUGAAAGGGAAAAAUUGAGAAAAUGAUCAGAUGAAGAAAAGGGGGGAAAAGAACUCUGUCAAAAACGAAAUGCUUUCUCCUAGAAAGCCAGAGGUUCCAUUCAAUUCUCGGAGCCCUAAGGGAGCUUUAAUGAGCCUGAGUUGGCCUGAGGUGACUUUUGGAUGGCUCUUUCCCGGUUGCCGUUUAUAUCUUAGGACAGAGGGCCCACAUUUGGGGCCACUAAAACCAUGUACCGUGAGAGGAGUAACAUCAGGUUUAUAGGGAGACACAGGGCCUCGCUGUUCCCAGAAUCUGCACGCAGCACAGCUUCGGCUGCUUCUCUCUUCUUCCCUCGCAGUAUGUGUUCCCUGAGAUGGUUUUUGGGUAUUUGAGGGCUGCCCGGAGUGGUCCACCCAGGCUCAGAGGAAGAGAGCUAAGAGUUUGCUUUAUAUUUAGGUCCUUGAAGGCGAACUCAUUAGUACAACCUUAUAGUAUCAGGAACACCGGCCACGCUCUGCUACUUGACAGCUUUGGGGCUUUGGGCAUUGGAAGCCUCAGUUUUCUCAUCCAUAAAAUGAGGAUGGUGCUGCCUAACUUCCGGGGUUGCUGUGAGGGAUGGGAGUCGUGAACACACUCAGUAAAUGUAGACAGUAGUGAGCAGGGAGCUAACCAAUCAGGAAGGAGCUAACCUUCCCGGCCUUUGUUUUAUUCAUUCAGUAAAACCUGUGACAAGCACUGCUGUAUAUAAUGUUCUUUUUCCCUCGAAGAACCCUUCCUCCCUCUCUAUUUUUUUGCCCAGUGAACACAUUUCUCUUUCAGACCCAACUUAAAAUGCCAUCAUCUCUCUCAUAUUUCAUUUCCCCCCUGCACUAGGUAUAACUCUUUGUCCUAGUGUCAUCUCAUCCACUAGAGCAUAAGCCCAUUGAAGGCAAGAACCUUGACUUUAUUUAUUUUCAUGUCCCAGGCACCCAACACAGCAUCUGACACACGGAAGAUGCUCAGCUAAUGCUGACUGACAGCAAGAAAAAACAUUCCCAAAUUGCUGCCACACCGUUUAGAAAAUAAUUACCAUGGGCGGUUACAAAAGGACUGCAAGAGUGUCAUGGCGAUUGAGGCCACUUCCACUUGGGGGAGGCCUGGGAGGUUGGAGGAGAACUCAGGAAAGGUUCUAGAGAAGAGGUGGCACUUAGGAUGAGAUCUGAGGGAGGGAGUGGUUGGAGCAUCUCAGGGGAGAGGCACCUUGUGCAGAGGUGUGGAGGUGGUGACGUCAUUGAACUGUUCAGGGAGAUAGAACAGUCUGGAUCAUCUAGAACAUGGUAGGCCUGCAGGGAACCAGGAGGUAAGGAGGAGGAAUAGAUUGGGACCCAAUUGUAAGCCCCGGUGAGGAUUCUGAGUGUCGCACAGCAGGCAGUGGGAAUCACUGAAGGGUUUAGAGCAGGAACGUAAUAUCAUCUGAGCUAUGCUCCGUUUCCUUUCUCUGCUUCCAAGUCUCUGACCCAGGGCACUCCCCGUUGGGCUGCCCUGUCUGCACAUCAGAGGUGUGGCACUGGUACCGCUGGCUUAGGCUCCUGGAGCUCUUGUUUGGGCCAUGUGGCCGUAGCAUUGAGCUGUGUGCCAGCAGGCAGGAACAAAUGCUGUCUGCCCAGCUCACUGAUUUGGAGGUGCCAGUCUCUUGGAGUUUGAGAAAGAUUUCUUACGUGGUAGAGCGUAAGCUUCUCCUGCAGUGUUAUGUCUAAAAGCCACAGUUUCAACCUGUACUUAAUUCCGUCUGUAAACAAAAGUCCCAGCGCCUGAAAUUAUAAAGCAUGUUUCUUCAACAAAAGGCCACUCUAAUAUAAACAGCAUGGAAAUGCUUUUGAUUUAUCCCCGAGGUGAAAUCGGAAAGCUUUGGGAGACAGGAGAAGGAUUUCAUACCACAAGUAGCGAAUCUCUCAUCUCAGAGGCCUGAAGUGGCAAGUUGGAGAGAGAGUCAGUGGUUCUUUAAUUCCUGAGAGUAACGAAGAGUGUAGGUGAAGAUUGCUCUGCAGUAAAUAUUGAUUAGAUACGUGAAGAAAAGCACCCAUGUGACACUUUCCCUGGUGUCAGAGGCAUAUUUCAAAAGCUUCCAAAAGGCCACGGAGACUUGCCCUUAGCUGGGAAGCUCUGGUACAGCUUGAGAGCCCUGCGUUCUUUAUAGGGGUGAUAGAUCAAGUUCAGUCUCUGCUGUUAAAUAGCUACGUGGCUUUGGGCAAGUUGUGUAACUUCUCCUGAGCUCAAUUCCUUCCACAUCACUAACAUUCUUUAAUUCUGUGAUUAUAGGAAUUUGAUGGGUUCUGAACAAUGUGGGUAAAAGGCAGCUCUGUUUUUUCCAUCUAUGCAUCCAUCUUUUGAGAGUGUCUGUUGCAUGCCCUGGGGAUAUGAAGAUAAGGGAAUGUAGUCCUUGAUCCUUAGGAAACUGACAAGUAAGGGCUGGUUUCUUCUCGAAAGUUUGAAUGCAGAAGGUUGCAUCAAACUGUUUUCUUCAUGUACAUUUUAAAUUCAAUUGAAAAUUUAGUGUUAUUUAUUGAUACUGAAGAGGAAGGUGAUUUUUCCAGACUUCUUCUUUUAUCCUUGUCUUAUUUUGCAAGCUCAUUUGGUGUUUGAUAAUUGAAACAACCACACUUAGUAACAAUAUGUCUAAAGAGGUCAUUGGGAUCAUUGUCUCUGAAUUGAGGGAAAGAAAGGGGCGGAAAAAUAGGUUUUCUAAUGUGUUUAUAAACACAGUUGCAUUUCGCCAAAACCAACCACAGCACUUAGGACAGAUGCAUCCGGUGUAUAUUCUCGUGGAUCAGAUACAACAUUUUGUUGAUUUAUUGGUCCAUUCUCACAAGAACAAACUGUCAACUGUUGCUAACCAUGGAAGAUUGGAAAAAGAUGGGACAAGUUUUAUUUAUUUUAUUUUAUUUUUGGGGGGGGGACAAGUUUUAAAUUGGC